rnacentral:rRNA from 1 species
UACGAACUGUGCAAACGUUAUUCGGAAUCACUGGGCUUACAGGGUGCGUAGGCGGCCUGUCAAGUAGGGUGUGAAAGCCCCCGGCUCAACCGGGGAAUGGCGCCCUAAACUGUCGGGCUGGAGUGAGAUAGGGGUGUGCGGAACUUCCGGUGGAGCGGUGAAAUGCGUAGAUAUCGAGAGGAACACCAGUGGCGAAGGCGAGUCUCUGGACGACUCCUGACACUGAGGCACGAAAGCUGGGGGAGCAAACAGG